CAAUAAUUGUAUCGAAGCAUUGAAAACACAAACAUUCUUUUUGCACAGAAACAAAAACAAAAAAACGAAAUGAAGCCUACAGCACCCCGGAUUCCCAUGUUGUCUCCAACCAUAGUACUAACGAGGCCCUCAGACGCUUAACUGCAGUGAUCGGACGGGAACUGGUGUUUUCGCCUAGGUAUGGCCGUAGACAUUAAACAUGUCUAGUUUAUAAAUUAUAUAGUCAAGAAAUCUUGAAUGCAGCCCUUAAGUGUAGCUUGUUAUCAGUGCAGAAGAAUAGUUCGUAGUAAGAAAAACUGCGUAGAACAAUACUACAAAAAGGCAAUAAAAUCGAUCAAUUAGGUUUUCUUUUGAAAAAUGGUUUAUGAUGAUCAAUCACUACAUACCAGUUAUUGUUUUAUUGAGUGUAUUCAGUAGGGAAGUAUUUUUUCCCGCAAUUUGGGUUGGUCAAUGAUUAUGAAGAUAAAUUGAAAACAAUGGACAUACUUGAUACAAAUUGACGUGUUGCCAUCGUUGUCGCAUGUGGUAAUAUAUUAAACCAUUAUAUUUGACAACCAUUACUUAUAUUGCAAGAGAUUAAGCAAGUCUAUUUAUAAAAGCCUGUCAAAAAGUAUUUAUAUGUUUGGAAAUGUAUAACCUGGAAAACCUACAUUGAUACACUGCUAUACUCUAUCACUU